rnacentral:rRNA from 1 species
GACAGAGGGGGCAAGCGUUGCUCGGAAUUACUGGGCGUAAAGGGCGCGUAGGCGGGAUGGCAAGUCGGUCGUGAAAUCCUUCGGCUCAACCGAAGAACGUCGAUCGAUACUGCCGUGCUUGAGGACUGGAGAGGAGACUGGAAUUUACGGUGUAGCGGUGAAAUGCGUAGAUAUCGUAAGGAAGACCAGUGGCGAAGGCGGGUCUCUGGACAGUUCCUGACGCUGAGGCACGAAGGCCAGGGGAGCAAACGGG